rnacentral:rRNA from 1 species
AAACACGGUAACCGAAACAAGGGGGGUACCCGUAAAUACACGUGGGCAACCUGCCCUCAGCUUUGGGAUAACUCUCGGAAACGGGUGCUAAUACCGAAUGUUGACAUUCUGCCGCAUGGUGGUUUGUUGAAAGUUUUUCGGCUGGGGAUGGGCCCGCGGCCUAUCAGCUUGUUGGUGGGGUGAUGGCCUACCAAGGCGACGACGGGUAGCCGGCCUGAGAGGGCGACCGGCCACACUGGAACUGAGACACGGUCCAGACUCCUACGGGAGGCAGCAGUGGGGAAUAUUGCGCAAUGGGCGGAAGCCUGACGCAGCGACGCCGCGUGAGGGAUGAAGGUCUUCGGAUUGUAAACCUCUUUCAGUAGGGACGAAUUUGACGGUACCUGCAGAAGAAGCACCGGCUAACUACGUGCCAGCAGCCGCGGUAAUACGUAGGGUGCGAGCGUUGUCCGGAAUUAUUGGGCGUAAAGAGCUCGUAGGCGGUUCGUCGCGUCGAAUGUGAAAACCCGGGGCUCAACUCCGGGCCUGCAUUUGAUACGGGCGGACUAGAGUUCGGUAGGGGAGACUGGAAUUCCUGGUGUAGCGGUGAAAUGCGCAGAUAUCAGGAGGAA